GGAGAGGUAGCUUAGUGGUUAAGAGCACUUGUUCUUACAAAGGACCAGGGUUCAAUUCCCUGCAUCCA
rnacentral:tRNA from 1 species